UUUUCUUGGUGAGGGCCCACCUCCAUAGCUGAGGUAGCAGCACACAGACCUAGGCUGAAUUUCUCCUUCACCCUGACAAGCCUUAUUUAAACCUAGCCACUACAGACUCACCCUCUCUCUUCUAGAAAAUUCUUGGACUUAAUCUUGUUUUCGGCUCUUGGAUCCAGCUUCAGCCAGAAGGUAGGACAAUGUCUUCCUGCCCUCCUCACUCUGGUGAUUGGAGCACUCCCUGGGAAAAUGUGAAAGAGAUGACAUUUCCCUAGGAAAACGGGAAAGAGAACCUCCUUGGGCUGAAGAUGGAGGUGAACCUGUAUCUUCUACUUUUGGAGCUAUUAAAUUAGAGAAGGAACAGCUACUGGCUGCACACAGAAGGGACUGCUCAAUCUGCAUCACAUCUGGACACCUGAAGAAGCAGAGUUCAAUAUACCUUGGGAGGGCUCUGCUGAACAACAGAAGCAGCAGAACAGGGACUUUUUGGAUUGCAAUUUUGUUACAAGGCUUCGCAAUUCCACUUCAGCCUUCCUUUAGAUCCUCCUCUGGAUUGAUGAUAAAAGCUUUUGGCAUGCAUCCUGCAGAGAAAUCAAGAAGCAUUACAGAGAUAGGGUCCUUCCACGUGAGAAAGGCUCAAUUACAUCUUCUGCAUGUGUCUGCCUGAGAAGUUGUACUGCAGUGUAUGUACUUGAAAGACGUGAUCUGACAUGACCAGAAGAGAAGCCGUUAAAUCUAAAAACCUUUUGUGUGGAUCCUGCCUCAAACAUCAUAAUCUGUUUGUUCAUCUGAUAAUGGGAGAGGCUACACCAUUAAGAGAAAAGAAGGUUUUUACAUACAAGCCUUGACUUGAACGCUGACAGCUUUUUACAAACUCUGCAAUAUAAAACUUACUCCCAGCUUUCACGAGCAUGAAAUGUUCUGGAGUUUGCAGAAGACGUAGCACAUCAAGUGUGUCUUUCUCCUCCUUUCCUUUCAAGUUCUUUUCCUUGCAGCAAGGAUAGGCUUUUGAUGAAUGCUGUGAAAAGUUCCUUGGAUGACCUUCAAGAAGUCAUUUGGAAUGGUUGUCAUUGAGUCAAUAAACUCUGGAUUAGGAGCCAAGUCCAAAUUGUAAAAUGGAAGAUAAAAUACUCCUUCUCUUCUCCCACUUAAUUUUAAAUUGCUCUCCAGAGCAGAGGCUGGUUCCAAAGCAGAUCUGUCAUGAGUGAAAUUAUGGUGUAUUUUUAUAUUUUUUGUUAGAGUAUAACAGCCCAAUUGAGUGCCAUGAUGUUACAAAUGAUUACAAUACCUCUGAAUUUAACUUCUGGGACCCUAGGUAUGGCUGUAGCAUAAGAAAGUUAAUUAGACUUUAUAUUUUUGUACAGAUUCACACACUUUAUUUUAAAGUAAACUGAUCUUACUGUAAUGUAAGUUGUAGGAGUAACACACAAUUAUGCUUUAUUGCUCUUCUUUUAACAUAAAUGUUUCAU